GAGUUUGAUCGUGGCUCAGAACGAACGCUGGCGGCAUGCCUAACACAUGCAAGUCGAACGAACUCUUCGGAGUUAGUGGCGCACGGGUGCGUAACGCGUGGGAAUCUGCCCUUGGGUACGGAAUAACUCAGAGAAAUUUGUGCUAAUACCGUAUAAUGACUUCGGUCCAAAGAUUUAUCGCCCAAGGAUGAGCCCGCGUAAGAUUAGCUAGUUGGUGGGUAAAGGCCUACCAAGGCUACGAUCUUUAGCUGGUCUGAGAGGAUGAUCAGCCACACUGGGACUGAGACACGGCCCAGACUCCUACGGGAGGCAGCAGUGGGGAAUAUUGGACAAUGGGCGAAAGCCUGAUCCAGCAAUGCCGCGUGAGUGAUGAAGGCCUUAGGGUUGUAAAGCUCUUUUACCCGGGAUGAUAAUGACAGUACCGGGAGAAUAAGCUCCGGCUAACUCCGUGCCAGCCGCCGCGGUAAC
rnacentral:rRNA from 1 species